GGCGUGCCUAAUACAUGCAAGUCGAACGAACUCUGGUAUUGAUUGGUGCUUGCAUCAUGAUUUACAUUUGAGUGAGUGGCGAACUGGUGAGUAACACGUGGGAAACCUGCCCAGAAGCGGGGGAUAACACCUGGAAACAGAUGCUAAUACCGCAUAACAACUUGGACCGCAUGGUCCGAGUUUGAAAGAUGGCUUCGGCUAUCACUUUUGGAUGGUCCCGCGGCGUAUUAGCUAGAUGGUGGGGUAACGGCUCACCAUGGCAAUGAUACGUAGCCGACCUGAGAGGGUAAUCGGCCACAUUGGGACUGAGACACGGCCCAAACUCCUACGGGAGGCAGCAGUAGGGAAUCUUCCACAAUGGACGAAAGUCUGAUGGAGCAACGCCGCGUGAGUGAAGAAGGGUUUCGGCUCGUAAAACUCUGUUGUUAAAGAAGAACAUAUCUGAGAGUAACUGUUCAGGUAUUGACGGUAUUUAACCAGAAAGCCACGGCUAACUACGUGCCAGCAGCCGCGGUAAUACGUAGGUGGCAAGCGUUGUCCGGAUUUAUUGGGCGUAAAGCGAGCGCAGGCGGUUUUUUAAGUCUGAUGUGAAAGCCUUCGGCUCAACCGAAGAAGUGCAUCGGAAACUGGGAAACUUGAGUGCAGAAGAGGACAGUGGAACUCCAUGUGUAGCGGUGAAAUGCGUAGAUAUAUGGAAGAACACCAGUGGCGAAGGCGGCUGUCUGGUCUGUAACUGACGCUGAGGCUCGAAAGUAUGGGUAGCAAACAGGAUUAGAUACCCUGGUAGUCCAUACCGUAAACGAUGAAUGCUAAGUGUUGGAGGGUUUCCGCCCUUCAGUGCUGCAGCUAACGCAUUAAGCAUUCCGCCUGGGGAGUACGGCCGCAAGGCUGAAACUCAAAGGAAUUGACGGGGGCCCGCACAAGCGGUGGAGCAUGUGGUUUAAUUCGAAGCUACGCGAAGAACCUUACCAGGUCUUGACAUCUAUGCAAAUCUAAAGGAUUAGACGUUCCCUUCGGGGACAUGGAUACAGGUGGUGCAUGGUUGUCGUCAGCUCGUGUCGUGAGAUGUUGGGUUAAGUCCCGCAACGAGCGCAACCCUUAUUAUCAGUUGCCAGCAUUAAGUUGGGCACUCUGGUGAGACUGCCGGUGACAAACCGGAGGAAGGUGGGGAUGACGUCAAAUCAUCAUGCCCCUUAUGACCUGGGCUACACACGUGCUACAAUGGAUGGUACAACGAGUUGCGAACUCGCGAGAGUAAGCUAAUCUCUUAAAGCCAUUCUCAGUUCGGAUUGUAGGCUGCAACUCGCCUACAUGAAGUCGGAAUCGCUAGUAAUCGCGGAUCAGCAUGCCGCGGUGAAUACGUUCCCGGGCCUUGUACACACCGCCCGUCACACCAUGAGAGUUUGUAACACCCAAAGUCGGUGGGGUAACCUUUUAGGAACCAGCCGCCUAAGGUGGACAGAUCU
rnacentral:rRNA from 1 species